rnacentral:rRNA from 1 species
AUUGCACGCUGGCGUCAGGCCUAACACAUGCAAGUCGAGCGGAGCGGCAGCCGGGUGGGUAUUUCCUAUGUAUCUGCCUGGUAGAGGGGGAUAACGUCCGGAAACGGGCGUUAACACCGCAUACUAUCAAUCUAGCCUAGCGCGGAUUUGCUAGUUGGUGGGGUAAGGGCCUACCAAGGCGACGAUCCGUAACUGGUCUGAGAGGAUGAUCAGUCACACGGGAACUGAGAAACGGUCCAGACUCCUACGGGAGGCAGCAGUGGGGAAUAUGGGAGAAUGGGCGAAAGCCUGAUCCAGCCAUGCCGCGUGUGUGAAGAAGGUCUUCGGAUUGUAAAGCACUUUAAGUUGGGAGGCGUUACCAUCAGAAUAAGCACCGGCUAACUUCGUGCCAGCAGCCGCGGUAAUAC